rnacentral:rRNA from 1 species
UACAGAGGUCUCAAGCGUUGUUCGGAUUCAUUGGGCGUAAAGGGUGCGUAGGCGGCGGAAUAAGUCGGGUGUGAAAUCCCGGAGCUCAACUCCGGAACUGCACUCGAUACUGUUUCGCUUGAGUACUGGAGAGGAGACUGGAAUUCACGGUGUAGCAGUGAAAUGCGUAGAUAUCGUGAGGAAGGCCAGUGGCGAAGGCGAGUCUCUGGACAGUUACUGACGCUGAGGCACGAAGGCCAGGGGAGCAAACGGG